rnacentral:rRNA from 1 species
UACAGAGGUGGCAAGCGUUGUUCGGAAUUACUGGGCGUAAAGGGCGCGUAGGCGGUCUUGCAAGUCCUGUGUGAAAUCCCUCGGCUCAACUGAGGAACUGCACAGGAAACUGCUUGGCUUGAGUUCGGGAGAGGGAAGCGGAAUUCCGGGUGUAGCGGUGAAAUGCGUAGAUAUCCGGAGGAACACCGGUGGCGAAGGCGGCUUCCUGGACCAACACUGACACUGAGGAGCGAAAGCCAGGGGAGCAAACGGG